AUUGAACGCUGGCGGCAGGCCUAACACAUGCAAGUCGAACGGUAACAGGAAGCAGCUUGCUGCUUCGCUGACGAGUGGCGGACGGGUGAGUAAUGUCUGGGAAACUGCCUGAUGGAGGGGGAUAACUACUGGAAACGGUAGCUAAUACCGCAUAACGUCGCAAGACCAAAGAGGGGGACCUUAGGGCCUCUUGCCAUCGGAUGUGCCCAGAUGGGAUUAGCUAGUAGGUGGGGUAACGGCUCACCUAGGCGACGAUCCCUAGCUGGUCUGAGAGGAUGACCAGCCACACUGGAACUGAGACACGGUCCAGACUCCUACGGGAGGCAGCAGUGGGGAAUAUUGCACAAUGGGCGCAAGCCUGAUGCAGCCAUGCCGCGUGUAUGAAGAAGGCCUUCGGGUUUUAAAGUACUUUCAGCGGGGAGGAAGGGAGUAAAGUUAAUACCUUUGCUCAUUGACGUUACCCGCAGAAGAAGCACCGGCUAACUCCGUG
rnacentral:rRNA from 1 species